AUCCUGGCUCAGGAUGAACGCUAGCGGCAGGCUUAACACAUGCAAGUCGAGGGGUAUAGUUCUUCGGAACUAGAGACCGGCGCACGGGUGCGUAAUGCGUAUGCAAUCUACCUUUUGCAGAGGGAUAGCCCAGAGAAAUUUGGAUUAAUACCUCAUAGUAUAGCAGUUUCGCAUGAAACCACUAUUAAAGUCACAACGGCAAAAGAUGAGCAUGCGUCCCAUUAGCUUGUUGGUAAGGUAACGGCUUACCAAGGCAACGAUGGGUAGGGGUCCUGAGAGGGAGAUCCCCCCACACUGGUACUGAGACACGGACCAGACUCCUACGGGAGGCAGCAGUGAGGAAUAUUGGACAAUGGGCGCAAGCCUGAUCCAGCCAUGCCGCGUGCAGGAUGACGGUCCUAUGGAUUGUAAACUGCUUUUGUACAGGAAGAAACACUGGUUCGUGAACCGGCUUGACGGUACUGUAAGAAUAAGGAUCGGCUAACUCCGUG
rnacentral:rRNA from 1 species